rnacentral:lncRNA from 1 species
CAACACCCUUGUUGCUGUGUCCAUCUUUCUCCUGCUGACUGGCCCGACCUACCUCCUGUUCAAGCUGUCGCCCAGGGUGAAGAGAAUCUUCUACCAGAACGUGCCCUCUCCAGCGAUGUUCUUCCAGCCCCUCUACAGUGUACACAAUGGGAACUUCCAGCUUUCUGCACCCACCAUGUGCCUCACCUCCUCCUUCUGCGAAGGUGUCUGUCCUGUGGCCAUGGGGAAGGGUCUGUGGUGUGUGUGCUGCCCUUGGGGCUCUCACUGCCUCUGGGCUCCUGCUCUGCCUGGUCCCCUGGUCUCCCCGG